AACGAACGCUGGCGGCAGGCCUAACACAUGCAAGUCGAGCGAGGACUUCGGUCCUAGCGGCGGACGGGUGAGUAACGCGUGGGAACGUGCCCUUUGCUUCGGAAUAGCCCUGGGAAACUGGGAGUAAUACCGGAUGAGCCCUUUGGGGGAAAGAUUUAUCGGCGAAGGAUCGGCCCGCGUUGGAUUAGGUAGUUGGUGGGGUAAUGGCCUACCAAGCCGACGAUCCAUAGCUGGUUUGAGAGGAUGAUCAGCCACACUGGGACUGAGACACGGCCCAGACUCCUACGGGAGGCAGUAGUGGGGAAUCUUAGACAAUGGGGGAAACCCUGAUCUAGCCAUGCCGCGUGAGCGAUGAAGGCCUUAGGGUUGUAAAGCUCUUUCAGCUGGGAAGAUAAUGACGGUACCAGCAGAAGAAGCCCCGGCUAACUCCGUG
rnacentral:rRNA from 1 species